AGUACUGUCUAUAUUAUGAUUGAAUUCAUGGGAAACAUUUAUUUCCGGGCUGAAGCCGAAAAAAUACACAAGCUGGGCGUGGUGGCUCAUGCCUGUAAUCCCAGCACUCUAGGGGGCCAAGGCAGGUGGAUUGCUUGAGCCCAGGAGUUCAAGACCAGCCUGGGCAACAUGACAACUACUACAUGUCUUUACUAAACAUACAAAAGUUAGCUGGGUGUGGUGGUGUGCGCCUGCAGUCCCAGCUACCUUAGGAGGCUGAGGUAGACUGCUUGAGCCCAGGAGGUGGAGGAUACAGUGAGUUGAGAUCCUGCCCCUGCACUCCAGCCUGGGCAACAGGGUGAGAUCUUUCAAAUUUUGUUACACUGAAUAUUUUGUUUUCAAGAGUACUCAUUAAAUCCUGCCCACAAAAAAACACUAAGCUACCUCACCAGUUUCUCCCUUCAUCACAUGAUUAGCAGAUCCUUGGCAAGGCUGUUCUGACUCAGCUGAAAUAUCUUCAGAUCUGCAAAGCACAAGGAUAUAGAGCUAAAAUGGAAAGAUAUUUGCUUCCAGCAUUAACAGUACUAAAUUCUUUGAUAAUCUUGAGAAUAAAAUGCUGAUAGGAUAAAUAAUAACAUCACACAAAAAGCAAAACACUUUUAAAGUAUAAAAUAAAUUCAAGACCAGACUGGGCAACAUGGAGAAAUCUUACCUCUACCAAAAUACAAAAAUUAGCCAGUCU
rnacentral:lncRNA from 10 species